AAACCUCACUGAUGCCUCACAAGUCACAAUAACCUCACAACUCGAGUUGAACUCAAUUUUGUGACUUUUUCGUAUUCUAACGAAAACCUCACAGAUCCACAGUCCUCACAAGAACCUCAUAAGGUGUGGUGAGUUUGAUUUUGUGAGGUUUUUCGUAUUCUGGCGUUCCCUCACAACUUGUGAGCCUCAUAAAAAUUGUUAAAAUUGUGAUCUCCUUUAAAGCAGAAAAAAGUCAAAAUCUAUAAGCAAUUCCAAGAAGACUUAUCCCAAGGAAUGUGUCCCAAACGUCUGCCAUUGGAUGUUGUUGCAUCUGGAGAUAGUUUCUCAGAAGUCAUCGAUGAAUAUUUGCGACAUGGCUUUCGUGGGUGUUACUUUGGACAACGAUAUUUUUAAUCACAGCAUAAUAAUUUUAUGCUUGAGACCGAAAGAGAGCUGUAGUAGCUCAGGUAGUGGCCAUAUCAUUCAUCACCUCACUCAAAUCGAAAAAUAAAGCGAAGUUCACAGACGCACAACGAAUGAACCAUGUUGGAACCACAGGAUUUCUUUGCAUUUCUUAAAUUUAACACCAACCCUAUCUUAUGAUCCCUUCAAAAAUUCUGACAUUGUAGUCGAAGCUGUUAAUAUUAAAUAAAGGAAGGUAUCAAAUAAUGGGAGGCUGUCGUGGCCAAAUUGUAUCAUUGCAACCAACACAAGUGUAACUUCUAUCACAAAAAUAUAGCAACAGGUAACUCUCGACCAAAGUUUUUAGUAUGCAUUAAUUCUCGUCAGUGGACAUUGGACAGGAUGGAAUUGCUAAAAAUCAUCACACAUUCACGAACUUUAAAGGACACAGGAGCAGCUACUGUUGCUUGAGGAUCCCACAUCGCUGUAGACUUAUGAAAACAUUUGGUGACCGAUUCAGUGGACGCAAUGUAGAAGUUAUGCAAGAUCAACUUUCCAAAAUCAGCCUCCAGUUGAGAAAAGAUACAAAUUAACUUCAAUUCACGAUAAUUCUGUUUACAUAAGCAGCGAUAACGAAUCCAACUGCGUCUGCAAACAACAUCAACAAAAAAUAAUGCAACUACCAGACAAACAAUGUCCGAAUUUCACAAAUCAUUUGUAGUCUCAGUCUUAUUUUUACCGAGACUUCACCGUAAUGCACAACAAAAUUUUUAUUUGUAAAAAUUUUAUUUGUAUUAGAUAUAAAAAAUCUUUCCCGGAGUAAAUUCUAGAAACUAAAUAACUUUUAUUAUUUUAUCUAUUUUUUAUUAUUUAAAAUACAUAUUUUAAGAAAAAUGAUUAUACAUAUUAACAUGCAUCUAAAAAUAAAAACCAUAACCACAACCAAAAUCAAAAACUUGUCGUGUAUUUUGCAUUCUAUUCAUAAAAGGGAGACGAACAGCAGUUAAAGAGGAGACAAGCUUUCUACUCCCUUUGUCAAGCAACAGGAUUUUUCUACGAUCAAAUAAAUAUCAUGUAAAUUAAAUAAAAAAGAAAUUGAAAUUUGUACCGAGAGCCGGAUAAUAAUGUUUGUUGCUUGUGUUCUUUAAAAAGCUUUUGCCCAUUCUAAAUGCAAAGAACUACCUCAGAAACCAUAAUGACACCAUAAACCCAACGUAGUCGCCUUAAAAUUCAAAACAAAAAAAAAAAAUAUGUAUAGUUAAAAACUUUAUUAGUUUUCAAUUUUACUCAAAGAGAGUGGAAUAAAUAAUUAAGAAACAAAAAAAUUCACCGUCUAAUCCCGAUAUAAUGAUUUGGUGGAGUUUAAAAAGUUAGAUAUUGUAUUUGAUUUCAAGAAUCAAGAAAUCCGGAUUGAAUUUGUCUGGGAUUCCACGCACCAAAGAGUCCAAUACUUUGGGCCUUUUGGUCAUCUUCCGUUUGACAAAAACUCCGUGCAGCCUGGA